rnacentral:rRNA from 1 species
AGGGAAUAUUGGACAAUGGGGGCAACCCUGAUGGAGCAACGCCGCGUGAAGGAUGAAGGCCUUAGGGUCGUAAACUUCUUUUGUUAGCGAAGAAUAUGACGGUAACUAACGAAUAAGGGUCGGCUAACUACGUGCCAGCAGCCGCGGUCAUACGUAGGACCCAAGCGUUAUCCGGAGUGACUGGGCGUAAAGAGUUGCGUAGGCGGCUCGUUAAGUGGAUAGUGAAACCUGGUGGCUCAACCAUACAGACUAUUAUCCAAACUGGCGAGCUCGAGAAUGGUAGAGGUAGCUGGAAUUUCUAGUGUAGGAGUGAAAUCCGUAGAUAUUAGAAGGAACACCGAUGGCGUAGGCAGGCUACUGGACCAUUUCUGACGCUAAGGCACGAAAGCGUGGGGAGCGAA